ensembl:misc_RNA 7SK 7SK RNA
AGGUGUCAUGCCAUGUGGCACUGACAUCUGUCACCUCAUUGACCCCAGGUUACUUUGGCUGCUUUGCCUGGCAAGGAGGGCACCUGCAUCUUACUUCACAACUCCAUGCUGGGCAUUCCAGGUCUGCAGUUUCUGUGAAGAUGUCAAUCUUCCCACAUGGAGGAGUAUGUUUUAAAAUUAAGGUCAUAGGAAAAAGAAGGUAGCUUUCUAGAACUUCUAAGUAUGCUAUCGAGUCCAUAAAAAGUAUGUUGAUUUUCACUUAUUUCUAGAAAAUUAAGUAUAAAUGGUAGGUUGGAUUUUCACUUUCAACUACUG